rnacentral:rRNA from 1 species
GACGAACGCUGGCGGCGUGCUUAACACAUGCAAGUCGAACGGAAAGGCCCUGCUUUUGUGGGGUGCUCGAGUGGCGAACGGGUGAGUAACACGUGAGUAACCUGCCCUUGACUUUGGGAUAACUUCAGGAAACUGGGGCUAAUACCGGAUAGGAGCUCCUGCUGCAUGGUGGGGGUUGGAAAGUUUCGGCGGUUGGGGAUGGACUCGCGGCUUAUCAGCUUGUUGGUGGGGUAGUGGCUUACCAAGGCUUUGACGGGUAGCCGGCCUGAGAGGGUGACCGGCCACAUGGGGACUGAGAUACGGCACAGACUCCUACGGGAGGCAGCAGUGGGGAAUAUUGCACAAUGGGCGGAAGCCUGAUGCAGCAACGCCGCGUGCGGGAUGACGGCCUUCGGGUUGUAAACCGCUUUCGCCUGUGACGAAGCGUGAGUGACGGUAAUGGGUAAAGAAGCACCGGCUAACUACGUG